UACUCUUUAUUUAUUGUGUGCCUCCUCUAUUUUCUUAUGGCUAACAGUACCAGUAUUUGUCGCAGAUCUCCUGGAUUGCAAUCCAUUUUCAUCUUCUGAAGGGAAUGUCACUCUCUAAAAGCCAAAUAUAACAUGCUAGCCUUGAAUAUAAAGUUAAAACUCUUCCUUGUUUUUGUAGAUCAGCAUAAGCACACAAAAAAAGUAUUGGAGAGCCAACAGAGCCAUUUCCUAUGCUCAAACAAAGGACUUAAGUCAAAGUACUCACCACCUACACCAUAGGUGAGACUACUCAAGAGAAAGAAGUGGGCUCGCAGUGCUCGGCUAGGGAAAAGGGCUUUUGUCUUUGUUGAUGACCUAAACAUGUCUGCCAAGGAGAAAGAUGGUGCCCGGCCUCCCAUUGAACCGCCGAGGCAAUGGAUUGACCAUGGCUACAGGUUUGACAGGAUGGAACAAUGUAUAACUUCUCUGCAGAGUCACUGUCUGGAGAAAAGAAGGAAUGGAAUAAAAGACAUUUUUUGCUAAAACCGAACAAAAGAUAAAAUUGAGCGUGCACACACACAAAAGAUCUUCCCAGCUGCUUUGCCUUUAUUCUCAGGCUGCAAAUUUAUAUCAAGAGAAGUCUAGUUAGGACAAAGAAUAAGCCCCGGGUAGCAACACUGAGCUAUACUAACAUUUGGAGCUGCUGGUGCUGGAUUUAGUGAGUUUUGUCCCAUCCUUAACAAGAAAUAUUACAGCAAAAGAAAAAAGAAAGAAAAUGCUGAGUAUGCAUGGUUCAAGAAAGUGUGAUACAAGGAUGUUUUGAUUCCAUUUUUGAUGUUGAAAAUUCCUCAUAGCUAAUAUCAAAGUUUGUCAAUUACCACACCCUGAUCCAGCUCCAGGCUUGUGAGUUUAGCAUUUUAUUUUGCUUCUCAGAAAUAGAGCCCCUGUGUAAGUUCUACACCUCCAAGAAAAUGUUCCCAUUCUUUCCCUCCAUUUCUCAAGACUGAAGUUGAGGAGUCAAAGUAACCUGUCUCUCAUUGCAUGCUAGAAUUUAUAGACAUUGAGCAAGGUCAAGGUACUGACAAUCACAACAUUUUGACUGACUACUGUGGCAAGUCCUAUUUGGUUGACUACUAUAGCAAACUCUAAAACAAUUGCUGUCUACUUUAGAGUUGUCAUGAAUCAGAAGUUAACACAAAUAGCAUGUUGCAUUGCCUUAAAAAACUGUUCAAAAAUACACAUCAGGAAAAAGGUGCAAAAUUAAUUUUGUUCAUAAGGGUCACUUUAAAAAUUCUGCUACAGACUAAUUAAAUGCUAGGUGCAGAUAUUUUUGGCUAAAAUAUUAAGCUGCAAUCAUUAGCACUGCAGAAAAUUUCCGUGUGCAAUUGUUCCAGGUGGAUAUGAAUUCCUCAUCAUUGUUCCUGUAGGAUUUGUUGUAAGUUGUUGACAGGGAUAUGAUUCUAUUGUAGAAUAUUUUCAAAGACAUCCUCAUGCAAUUCCUUCAGUUGAUUGCAGUGGCUCGCCUUUUAUUAGGAAUAUCUGAAAGAGAGAAGAGCUGGAAAAUUCACAGGAUGCUAUAUGACAAUAGCAUAUUUUUUUAAAAAAAACUUUCCAUUGUCAUUUUUAAAACUUUCCCCUAAUAUCUUAAGUACUUAGUGGCAGGGAAGUGUCAAACUGAAUAAUGCCACUGAUUUUUGUAUAGUCAACAUAAUAUUUGGUCUUUCUCUCUGUUUUGUGAAAUUUAAAGUUGGAAUAAACUAUAGUAAGUAUUUUGAAUACAUCCAGUGUUAUUUUGUGCAUUGGACUGCAUCUCUGAAAAAUAGGGUUCAAAUUCCCUCUUAGCCAUAAAAACUCACUGGGUGAUCUUGGGCAUGUCACAUAGCAUUAGCCUCAGAAAGCCUCAUGAUAGAUUUAUUUUAAGGUCAUCAUCAGUCGGAAGCAACUUGAAGGCACACAAAAACACAUAUCCUGAAAACAGUGGGUUGGGAUCUAGUUUCUGAUUUCAACAGACAGGAGGGAUUUAGUUAUACAAGGGGAUUUCCUUGAACGUUCUAGGACCCUUUUCCAUACAUUACAGCU
rnacentral:lncRNA from 1 species